UAGGGAAUAUUGCAAAAUGGGCAAAGCCCGAUGCAGCAACGUCGCGUGGGCGAUGAAGGCCUUCGGGUCGUAAAGCCCUUUUUGAGGGGAUGAGGAAGGACAGUACCCUCAGAAUAAGCCUCGGCUAACUACGUGCCAGCAGCCGCGGUAAAACGUAGGAGGCGAGCGUUAUCCGGAUUUACUGGGCGUAAAGCGCGUGCAGGCGGAUUGGAGAGUUGGAUGUGAAAGCUCCCGGCUUAACUGGGAGAGGUCGUUCAAUACUUCCAGUCUUGAGUGCAGUAGAGGGAAGUGGAAUUCCGGGUGUAGUGGUGAAAUGCGUAGAUAUCCGGAGGAACACCAGUGGCGAAAGCGGCUUCCUGAACUGUAACUGACGCUCAGACGCGAAAGCUAGGGUAGCAAACG
rnacentral:rRNA from 1 species